UAGAUGGAUGGGUUAAGACUUAAGAGUUAAGACUAUCUCACUUUCGAAAAAUGAUUUAUUUAGCUGAGGUGCGGAGUGGAGUGGACCUUGUGAUCCUUUUCCCUACACGAAAGUUUUUUCGUGACCAGUUAAUGUGUACUUUGUACACGUUUCUUCUCAUAUAUAUGAUUGAAAAGGGGGCAUUAAUUUGUGAGCCUGAAGGUAGUAGUCGUGAUCCAUGAGUGCAUGACCAUAGUUUUAUGUGACUUUAAGAUGAGUUCUUGACUCCGUUCUACACCUUUGAUUACAUACUCAAGUUUGCAUGGUGGAAAUCAGCUUGAGGUGCCAUAUUUGUGCUUGAGGGGGCCGUAAGUGCAAUGGCAUGGUACUCCAAGGAGAACGGUUGCGUAUGUGGGUUCCCCAUUGUUAUUGUGAUGUGAUCAGAGUCGCAAGAUAAUCGUGAGCUGAUAUUACUUGUUGAUCUAGAGGCAGCGUGCAUUACCUCAUAUAGAAGAUACCAUGGACUUUGGGAGGUUUUCUUGGAAAUUCUUCCAUGAGGGGUUUACCGCGCACUUGAUACAUGUAGAUGAUGGUUUUGCCGUUUCGUUUGUUCGCUCGGU